GGCCCUAUCGUCUAUCGGUUAGGACAUUACCUUUUCAAGGUAAGAAGCGGAGUUCGACUCUCCGUAGGGUCA
rfam:Parcubacteria bacterium GW2011_GWA2_50_10b TY54_C0006, whole genome shotgun sequence.